rnacentral:rRNA from 1 species
GACGAACGCUGGCGGCGUGCUUAACACAUGCCAGUCGAACGGAAAGGCCCUGCUUUUGUGGGGUGCUCGAGUGGCGAACGGGUGAGUAACACGUGAGUAACCUGCCCUUGACUUUGGGAUAACUUCAGGAAACUGGGGCUAAUACCGGAUAGGAGCUCCUGCUGCAUGGUGGGGGUUGGAAAGUUUCGGCGGUUGGGGAUGGACUCGCGGCUUAUCAGCUUGUUGGUGGGGUAGUGGCUUACCAAGGCUUUGACGGGUAGCCGGCCUGAAAGGGUGACCGGCCACAUUGGGACUGAGAUACGGCCCAGACUCCUACGGGAGGCAGCAGUGGGGAAUAUUGCACAAUGGGCGGAAGCCUGAUGCAGCAACGCCGCGUGCGGGAUGACGGCCUUCGGGUUGUAAACCGCUUUCGCCUGUGACGAAGCGUGAGUGACGGUAAUGGGUAAAGAAGCACCGGCUAACUACGUG